rnacentral:rRNA from 1 species
AAUCAACGCUGGCGGCGUGCCUCAGACAUGCAAGUCGAACGCGAAAGUUUCCUUCGGGGGACGAAGUAGAGUGGCGCACGGGUGAGUAACACGUAGGUAAUCUACCUUUGGUAGUGGGAAGUAACAACCGGAAACGGUUGCUAAUACCGCAUAAUGCAGCGGCACCUAAUGGUGACAGUUGUUAAAGCGGGGGAGUCAAAGACCUCGCGUCUGAAGAGGAGCCUGCGGCGGAUUAG